rnacentral:lncRNA from 1 species
GCGCUCGGGCCGGAACUCGUCGGGCCGCACCCACCUCUUGGGGUCGUUGGCGAGGAACCAGGCGUUGACGAGGAUCUUGGACUCGGCGGGGAUGUCGUAGCCGGCGAGCUUGCCGUCGUUGAGGUUCAUGUGGGGCACCAGCAGCGGGAUGGCCAUGCGCAGGCGGAGCGUCUCCUUGACGAUGGCCUGGAGGUAGGGGAGGCGCUCGAGGUCCGGCUCCGUCACAGGCACGCCGGCGCCCAGCACCGAGUCCAUCUCCUCCCGGAGCUUGGACUGGAUGGCCGGGUGGUUCACCAGCUCCGCGAUGCCCCACUCGAUCGACCACAGUGUCGUCUCGAUCGCUGCAAAAGAAAACAAAAGGUUCUCUUUAGUUCGCUUGCUCCUUACACAUUCAAAUUCGAGCAAAUUUUCUGCUCUUUCUUCUAUCAUGAAAACGAGCUGUUAUAAAUCAAUAGAUACUAAUUUAUUCAACGACAAGUAAAUAAGUGUGGCAUACAUCAAUUCUAGACUCUAAUCUCAUAUAGUUGUCAAACUAUAAAUUAUUUGGCUUGUUUAGCUUGUGAGCUAGCUUGCAAGCCAGCUUGAGCUAGCUCACUAACUUAAUGAGCUAAAAUACUAGCUUGACUCUAAGAAAAGUAAAUGAGCCGAGUC